ACUGACAGCUUACAGCUUGUUCAUUCGUUGUGUAUCUGUCCGCGGAUUAUCAUUAUUAAGAUAAUGUAGCAGGGUUGAGCCUGGUCAGUACCUGGAUGAGAGACCUCCUGGGAAAACUAGGUUGCUGUUGGAA
ensembl:rRNA 5S_rRNA 5S ribosomal RNA